CGGCGUUAUUGCGCAAGGCAGCAACCUGUUCCCAGCAGUCAGUGCUACUAGGUUCCGGCGUUGCGGCUCAGUGGGGCGCAGCUUUGCGGACCCAGGAGUUCAGGAUGCAGGCGGGGCUUGUGCUCCGCGCGGGGCAGGGCGUAUGGUGGGCCUCCUCCCGCCCCUACUCGCGCGUUUUGCUCCUCAGUCUCCUUCUCUUGCUGCUUUCAUGGCUUUCAUUGGAGCUUUCUGGACCUUGUGCUUGACGGUGCUGCAGGUGCCGUGGGGACACACAAGCUAGUCUGAUAAGCACCCUCCCCCAGGAUCAUGCGGUGCUGUAAGGACUAGCGAAGAUGAAGAUAGAAUGCAAGGUAGAAAGUGCUGGAUGCCUUUAGAAAGCUGCAGGACUGGUGCGAUGGGAGUUGAGUCGUAAGAACCUGUCUGUCCGUAGGACUCAGGAUGCUGCUGAGGCCCUGGGCUUCCAUGGUAGAUUUGAAAACUCACCCUUGUAGAGUCAUGAUGUCCAGCCUUUGAGAGGACUCCCUUUUAAGUCUGCAGGCGCUGAGCUCCCGGAGGAGGAGGGGCGGGGCCAAGGCCUCCUCCCAGCCCGGCUUUGCAGAGCAGAGAUCUGAUGUCUGGAGUCUACAGAAGCACUUGCAGAACUGAUCAGAAGCCACCCCGCUUAUCGGCAGAUCUUAGGAGAGUGUUCGGUGGAGGCCCUGCAGGUCUGCGCAGCUCACCUCCCUGGGAACUGCUCGCCUGAGCGUCGGAGCCGGCGCUGGCACCCUGCAGUCAGAAAGUUGCAGCCGCGGGAGCCCCGGAUGCCUAGGACGCAAGGAGGAAAAUUCUUCCAAGGAUGGUCUCCCACUCAGAGCUGAGGAAGCUUUUCUACUCAGCAGAUGCAGCGUGUUUUGAUGUUGACAGCACGGUCAUCAGAGAAGAAGGAAUCAGUGAGCUAGCCAAAAUCUGU